CACGGGGGGGGCAAGCGUUGUUCGGAAUUACUGGGCGUAAAGGGCUCGUAGGCGGCCAACUAAGUCGGAUGUGAAAUCCCCAGGCUUAACCUGGGAACUGCAUCCGAUACUGGAUGGCUUGAAUCCGGGAGAGGGAUGCAGAAUUCCAGGUGUAGCGGUGAAAUGCGUAGAUAUCGGGAGGAACACCAGUGGCGAAGGCGACUACCUGGCCUGUUCUUGACGCUGAGGCGCGAAAGCCAGGGGAGCAAACGGG
rnacentral:rRNA from 1 species